GAAAGCUACGUGAUACGGAAACGGUCAUGCGUAGUUUGGAGGGGGGUGGUUGGAAAAGUGCCAAUAAUGGUAACUCGCUGGCUACCCACCCUAC
rnacentral:ncRNA from 1 species